AGCUCAGAGGGUAAAGCGUCUGCCUGCAAUGCAGGAGACCUGGGUUCAAUCCCUG
rnacentral:tRNA from 1 species